AUUGAACGCUGGCGGCAGGCCUAACACAUGCAAGUCGAACGGUAACAGGAAGACGCUUGCUUCUUUGCUGACGAGUGGCGGACGGGUGAGUAAUGUCUGGGAAACUGCCUGAUGGAGGGGGAUAACUACUGGAAACGGUAGCUAAUACCGCAUAACGUCGCAAGACAAAAGAGGGGGACAUUCGGGCCUAUUGCCAUCGGAUGUGCCCCGCUGGGGUUUGCUUGUAGGUGGGGUAACGGCUCACCUAGGCGACGAUCCCUAGCCGGUCUGAGAGGAUGACCAGCCACACGGGAACUGAGACACGGUCCAGACUCCUACAGGAGGCAGCAGUGGGGAAUAUUGCACAAUGGGCGCAAGCCUAAUGCAGCCAUGCCGCGUGUAUGAAGAUGGCCUUCGGGUUGUAAAGUACUUUCAGCGGGGAGGAAGGGAGUAAAGGUAAUACCUGUGCUCAUUGACGUUACUCGCAGAAGAAGCAACGGCUAACUCCGUG
rnacentral:rRNA from 1 species